UCCAGCUUAUCGCUGGCGGUCUCCUGCGAGUUCCCAACUGAAUGAUGGCAACACAGGACGAGGGUUGCGCUCGUUGCGGGACUUAACCCAACACCUCACGACACGAGCUGACGACAGCCAUGCAGCACCUGUGCAAGCUGGUAUUGCUACCUCGUCAGGCUUUCACCCUUCUACUACUUGCAUGUCAAGGCCAGGUAAGGUUCUUCGCGUUGCAUCGAAUUGAGCCACAUACUCCACCGCUUGUGCAGGCCCCCGUCAAUUUCUUUGAGUUUUAAUCUUGCGACCGUACUCCCCAGGCGGUCUACUUCACGCGUUAGCUGCGUUACCAAGUCAAUUAAGACCCGACAACUAGUAGACAUCGUUUACAGCGUGGACUAC
rnacentral:misc_RNA from 1 species